UACGUAGGGGGCAAGCGUUAUCCGGAUUUACUGGGUGUAAAGGGAGCGCAGGCGGCCUGCUAAGUCUGGAGUGAAAGGUACCGGCUCAACCGGUACAGGCUCUGGAAACUGGCGGGCUAGAGAGCAGGAGAGGGCGGUGGAAUUCCAUGUGUAGCGGUGAAAUGCGUAGAGAUAUGGAGGAACACCAGUGGCGAAGGCAGCUCACUGGACUGCAACUGACACUGAGGCUCGAAAGUGUGGGUAUCAAACAGG
rnacentral:rRNA from 1 species